CGAACCGUGCGAACGUUGUUCGGAAUCACUGGGCUUAAAGGGCGCGUAGGCGGGCUGUCCAGUCUGGGGUGAAAUCCCGCGGCUCAACCGUGGAACUGCCUCAGAUACUGACGGCCUCGAGGGAGAUAGGGGCAUGCGGAACUGUAGGUGGAGCGGUGAAAUGCGUUGAUAUCUACAGGAACUCCGGUGGCGAAGGCGGCGUGCUGGAUCUCUUCUGACGCUGAGGCGCGAAAGCUAGGGGAGCAAACGGGAUUAGAUACCCCCGGUAGUCCUAGCCCUAAACGAUGGGUACUAGAUAGUAGGCUAGAUAUGGGCUUACUGUCGAAGCUAAAGUGCUAAGUACCCGCCUGGGGAGUAUGGUCGCAAGGCUG
rnacentral:rRNA from 1 species